UUUAGCUUUAACUUCAUCGUAAGAAUAUUCUUCUUUUCUGGUUGAGCAGAUCAUAUUGACUGCAUUGGGAGAGAUGUUUCAAGCUGCUCGUAGUAUCAUGGGCUGGCUCGGUGACUGUGCAAAGGGAAAUGAUAUGCAUACGACAAAGUUGCUAAACAUUUGAAGUGGCUAAAACAAUAUCGAUGGGGCCAUCAUUGAAAAGUGGAUCAAAAGUUGGGAAAAGUGGAUCAAAAGUUCACGAACCAGACCAGCACCCUCCCCAACAUAUUUCUUAACAAGUUCACGAAGCUAAAUUGUACAAGACUACUUGGCAGUAUAAGCAUUUUUUGGAGGAUUAAAUAUUUGUGGAUAGAUGUGUA